rnacentral:rRNA from 1 species
UACAGAGGGUGCGAGCGUUAAUCGGAAUUACUGGGCGUAAAGCGCGCGUAGGCGGCUUUGCGAGUCGGGUGUGAAAUCCCCAGGCUUAACCUGGGAACUGCAUUCGAGACUGCAUUGCUAGAGUAUGGGAGAGGGAAGUGGAAUUUCCGGUGUAGUGGUGAAAUGCGUAGAUAUCAGGAGGAACACCAGUGGCGAAGGCGACUACCUGGCCUGUUCUUGACGCUGAGGCGCGAAAGCUAGGGGAGCAAACGGG